UCAUGGCUCAGGAUGAACGCUGGCGGCGUGCUUAACACAUGCAAGUCGAACGGGAUCCAUCAGGCUUUGCUUGGUGGUGAGAGUGGCGAACGGGUGAGUAAUGCGUGACCGACCUGCCCCAUACACCGGAAUAGCUCCUGGAAACGGGUGGUAAUGCCGGAUGCUCCGACUCCUCGCAUGGGGUGUCGGGAAAGAUUAUAUCGGUAUGGGAUGGGGUCGCGUCCUAUCAGGUAGUCGGCGGGGUAACGGCCCACCGAGCCUACGACGGGUAGCCGGCCUGAGAGGGCGACCGGCCACAUUGGGACUGAGAUACGGCCCAGACUCCUACGGGAGGCAGCAGUGGGGAAUAUUGCACAAUGGGCGCAAGCCUGAUGCAGCGACGCCGCGUGCGGGAUGACGGCCUUCGGGUUGUAAACCGCUUUUGAUCGGGAGCAAGCCUUCGGGUGAGUGUACCUUUCGAAUAAGCACCGGCUAACUACGUGCCAGCAGCCGCGGUAAUACGUAGGGUGCAAGCGUUAUCCGGAAUUAUUGGGCGUAAAGGGCUCGUAGGCGGUUCGUCGCGUCCGGUGUGAAAGUCCAUCGCUUAACGGUGGAUCUGCGCCGGGUACGGGCGGGCUGGAGUGCGGUAGGGGAGACUGGAAUUCCCGGUGUAACGGUGGAAUGUGUAGAUAUCGGGAAGAACACCAAUGGCGAAGGCAGGUCUCUGGGCCGUUACUGACGCUGAGGAGCGAAAGCGUGGGGAGCGAACAGGAUUAGAUACCCUGGUAGUCCACGCCGUAAACGGUGGAUGCUGGAUGUGGGGCCCGUUCCACGGGUUCCGUGUCGGAGCUAACGCGUUAAGCAUCCCGCCUGGGGAGUACGGCCGCAAGGCUAAAACUCAAAGAAAUUGACGGGGGCCCGCACAAGCGGCGGAGCAUGCGGAUUAAUUCGAUGCAACGCGAAGAACCUUACCUGGGCUUGACAUGUUCCCGACAGCCGUAGAGAUAUGGCCUCCCUUCGGGGCGGGUUCACAGGUGGUGCAUGGUCGUCGUCAGCUCGUGUCGUGAGAUGUUGGGUUAAGUCCCGCAACGAGCGCAACCCUCGCCCUGUGUUGCCAGCACGUCAUGGUGGGAACUCACGGGGGACCGCCGGGGUCAACUCGGAGGAAGGUGGGGAUGACGUCAGAUCAUCAUGCCCCUUACGUCCAGGGCUUCACGCAUGCUACAAUGGCCGGUACAACGGGAUGCGACACGGCGACGUGGAGCGGAUCCCUGAAAACCGGUCUCAGUUCGGAUUGGAGUCUGCAACCCGACUCCAUGAAGGCGGAGUCGCUAGUAAUCGCGGAUCAGCAACGCCGCGGUGAAUGCGUUCCCGGGCCUUGUACACACCGCCCGUCAAGUCAUGAAAGUGGGUAGCACCCGAAGCCGGUGGCCUAACCCUUCUUGGGAUGGAGCCGUCUAAGGUGAGACUCGUGAUUGGGACUAAGU
rnacentral:rRNA from 1 species